UUCUCUGAGCCUGAGUUCUACCAUCAUUAAAACAACAACAAUUUUACUGUGUGAGAGAAAUCAUAGUCACUGGUUUGAAUGGACUAAUCAAGACCUAUGAACUGCUGUCUGCACUAAUAUCCACUUUCCCAGAGAUCAAAGCCACGUGGCCGGAGAGAGAGACUUUCAGCUGCUUUUCUUGCAUCCUUUUCUGAUCAGAGUGAUUUAUCACUUGAAUGCCAUCAUCAGGUCACAGGCUUUUUACUUCAGAUAUUUGGUAUCAGACUGUUGAGUAUCGG
rnacentral:lncRNA from 1 species